rnacentral:rRNA from 1 species
UACGUAGGGUGCAAGCGUUUGUCCGGAAUUAUUGGGCGUAAAGAGCUUGUAGGCGGUUUGUCGCGUCUGCUGUGAAAUUUCGGGGCUCAACCCCGAACUUGCAGUGGGUACGGGCAGACUAGAGUGUGGUAGGGGAGACUGGAAUUCCUGGUGUAGCGGUGAAAUGCGCAGAUAUCAGGAGGAACACCGGUGGCGAAGGCGGUUCUCUGGGCAUUACCUGACGCUGAGGAGCGAAAGCGUGGGGAGCGAACAGG